GUCUACAGCCAUUACACCUUGAACAUGCCCAGUCUUGUCUGAUCUUGGAAGCUAAGCAGAGUUGGGCCUGGUUAGUACUUGGAUGGGAGACCACCUAAGAAUACCAGGUGCUGUAGGCU
rnacentral:rRNA from 1 species